CCCUUGGACAAGUUAUGUUAACCUCUAUGACAGUGGAUGAAAGAAUGAAAGCAACAUGUAAGUUGGUCCAUUGGGAGCGUGAUUUAUGAUCUGAGUUUCUAAAGGAAUCAGACAACUCCGCAACAAGUUGGCCCAACUUCAGGAAACAGACACACUAUUUAAGAUGGGACAAAAAUGGGCAGCGAAGUGAUGCGGCCUGUGAACGCUGCCUUAGACGUGAGACCAUUGAUGCCUUGUUUCUCUCAGUGCUUUUCUUGGGGGCCGGAAGUUCCUUGUCACUACCUGUGAGUGAGCUUCUUCAGGGCCUUCGAGCCCCCUGGGCGUGGGUCCAAAGUGCCUUUCAUGAAGCUGACAAGAAGGGACAUGAGCACCAGCACCCAGUGAGCAACCACCUGGUGUCUAACAUGUUUCUCGGAAAGAGUAAGUGACGAGAGCAGAACUGAGGAUGACCCCGUCAAUGAAUGUUUGUGGUUAUUCACCGUGAAGAUGCAGAGAGUCACCACCAAGGAGUUUAAAAGUUGACAUCAACCACAGAGCAAGAUAAUGGUGGAGUCAGGACCAUGGUGCCUCUUUUGGGCUAUGUUUUAUGUUCUAUUGGUUGGACCAUAAGUUCACCAAAAUAACUAUAUUCUAUAAUAAUACCUCUUAUCAAGGGCUUUUCCAUCUUGCAAAGAGAAACCAACUGAGAUGAAUUUUGGUAGACAAUAGUCGGAUAUUGGGAGAUCUAGCCAUUGGGUUUAGCCUGUAGUCAGGAUUCCUAUCCAGAAAAUAAAGCUAAAUUUUGUGGAAUACA